UUUCACUUGAGCCCUCACAAGAAUAUUACUAUCUUUCUAGAUUAUACUUCUUCAAUGGGGUUCGCUAUCCUUCCAGUUUUAGCCUUAUUUUGUCUUGCACUAGUAGGAAGCCAUGCUUCUCUACCUUCUAAGGUCUACUGGCAGUCAGUUUUGCGGAACACUCCCAUGCCGAAAGCUCUUCAGGAUUCUUUGAUUAGCUCUACUGGUCAGAUUCAAAUCCCAAUUCCUUACCCUUUUUUCUUUUCGAGUUCCCCAACUGGUUCACUGGUAAAGAAGAAAAUUACUGUUACAGAAACUUUAGCUUGGGGCGUUAAUAAUGCACUUGUUUGAUUUUGUUAACUAGAAGUAUUGAACAAGAUAAGAUACAUCAUGCAUUAAAGAGGAUGCAUGUAUAUUAUCUAGAAGAUAAUUAUUGUUUGACUUAUAUAUGAUGCUCUCUAUCAAGGCUGUCAAAAUCAAGAUUCUAUUGUGAAUCGUAAAUCGUAUGAUCAGAUUGUGAAUUGUAAGAUCCUACAUAUUUUCAGAUUUAAAGCAAAAAAAGCAUUGAUAAUGACUUUGUAUGUUGAAUAAUCAUGUAAAUUAUAAAUUCAUCAAUAAAAAAAAUAAAAAAUAAAAACUAAGAUUUGCAUCA